rnacentral:tRNA from 1 species
GGAUAAAUGACUGAGCGGCUGAAGGUGUUAGUUUUGAAAACUAUUCUAUUUAACAAUAGCGUGAGUUCGAAUCUCACUUUAUCCU